AUGACUAGACAACAAAUAUUGAAUGUCGACGCGUCCUACUCAAAAGACGACUUCACGGGAGCUUGUGGUGCUAUGCUUUGCAAUAACCGAGGAGGUUUCAUCAGGGCAGCUACGGCGAGACUUGACCAUGUUCCAGAUGCGGUUCUAGAAGCAGCAACACUGUUGUAG
rnacentral:rRNA from 1 species